rnacentral:rRNA from 1 species
AUUGAACGCUGGCGGCAGGCCUAACACAUGCAAGCCGAGCGGUAGAGAGGUGCUUGCACCUCUUGAGAGCGGCGGACGGGUGAGUAAUGCCUAGGAAUCUGCCUGGUAGUGGGGGAUAACGCUCGGAAACGGACGCUAAUACCGCAUACGUCCUACGGGAGAAAGCAGGGGACCUUCGGGCCUUGCGCUAUCAGAUGAGC